UUCAGGUCUUCAUCACGCUCAUGAGAUUUGAUUUCCAGUGGCACAUUAAAAUCAUUUAUCUACUGGAUUUAGAAAACAAUAUCAGAGCUCUGAUUUGACUGCUGACUGAAAGUUUAUCUUCACGUCUCCAGUCCUCAAACUCCCCUUUGAGAGAUCUGGAUGUGAGUAACAAUGACCUGGAGGAUUCAGGAGUGAAGCUCAUCUCUGAUGCUCUCGAGAGUCCAGACUGUAAACUACAAAUACUGAGAUGUCUGUGAUCUCAAAUCCAAAAAGAGCAAACAUUCAUCUCAUACUGUCUGAGGACCACAGAAAGGUGACGUGUGUGUGAAUGAUAUGAGAUUUGAUGAUGUUUCUCGGUUUCUGUGUAAGUAAAGUCUCACUGGACGCUGGGAGAUUAAAUGAAGCGGGUCACAUACUGGAAUAUCAGUCUCAUAUAAAGACAUCAGCAGGAAUAGAAAGAGUGCUGGGGGUGUGUUUAAAUACAGUAGACGAUCAUUAAUAAUAUCAGACUCACUGCUUUUUAUAAUGAAGUAACAGCAGUAGUGUUUAAAGACAUCUCUGAUGCUAAUAGAUCUGGACUGGCACUCAGCGGGCACUCUGUCCUUCUACAGCGUCUCUGACACACAAACAACACAACAUUCGCACAACCUUUAUAUGCUGGAUUUAAGAUUGAAGACUGAUGAUGUGACUAAUAAAAGAAAGAGACAGCUGUAUGUUCUGCACUGUGUGUGUAAUCUCUCCAGUCAGCACAACAUGAGUCUGUAGCGCCACCCAGCGGUCACAUCACUGAACUUCACAUCAAUAAUGAUGACAUUGACAUUCAUUACUCACACAUUCAAAUAAUAUUAAUAUCAUAACGUCUGAUUAUUAAACUAGAAAGACUGCAAACAUCAUGAUUUUAGCCCUUAACUAAAGUCUACUAACUAAUAAAUGAGAGAAAGAGACACACACACACACACGCGCACACGCACACACGCGCACACACACACACACACACACACACAGAUGUAGUGCUGCAUACUGAAGACAUUAAGGUUAUGAUUGAUGAAAGAUAAUGACACAUUCAUCUUCAGACUGCAGUCUUUUACUAUCUAGUUGCAGAUGAUGCUGUGAUUGAAAAGGUGAAGAUGAAGAGGUCAGGGUCAGAUGAUGAAGAUGAUGAUUUGCUUGACCUUUAACCCACACACCACCUUUAAAAAACUUUCAGUAUAGCUAAUGAAGGUGUGUGUGUGUGUGUGUGUGUGUGUGUGUUUGUUUUUGUGUGUGUGUGCGUGUGUCUGUCCUUAGGCCCAGUUACAACAGGAAUUUUAGCACAUUUUUUAUUA